CGAACGCUGGCGGCGUGCUUAACACAUGCAAGUCGAGCGGUAAGGCCCUUUCGGGGGUACACGAGCGGCGAACGGGUGAGUAACACGUGGGUGACCUGCCCUCAGCUCUGGGAUAAGCCUGGGAAACCGGGUCUAAUACUGGAUAUGACUCCAUGACGCAUGUUGUGGGGUGGAAAGCCUUGUGCGGCUGAGGAUGGGCCCGCGGCCUAUCAGCUUGUUGGUGGGGUGAUGGCCUACCAAGGCGACGACGGGUAGCCGGCCUGAGAGGGCGACCGGCCACACUGGGACUGAGACACGGCCCAGACUCCUACGGGAGGCAGCAGUGGGGAAUCUUGCGCAAUGGGCGAAAGCCUGACGCAGCGACGCCGCGUGAGGGAUGACGGCCU
rnacentral:rRNA from 1 species